GACGAACGCUGGCGGCGUGCUUAACACAUGCAAGUCGAACGGAGUGGCGAACGGGUGAGUAACACGUGGGUGACCUGCCCUGCACUUCGGGAUAAGCCUGGGAAACUGGGUCUAAUACCGGAUAGUGUGGGAUGGGCCCGCGGCCUAUUAGCUUGUUGGAGGUGUAAUGGCCUACCAAGGCGGCGAGGGGUAGCCGGACUGGGAGGGUGGACGGCCACAGUGGGACUGAGACACGGACCAGACUCAGACGUGAGGCAGCAGUGGGGAAUAUUGCACAAGGGGCGGAAGCCUGAUGCAGCGACGCCGCGGGGGGGAUGUCUGCCUUCGGGUUGUAAUCUCCUUUCACCAUCUACGCGGUAGAUGGAGAAGAAGCACCGGCUAACUACGUGCCAGCAGCCGCGGUAAUUC
rnacentral:rRNA from 1 species